rnacentral:pre_miRNA from 1 species
GGAUACCUGAAAACUACCGUUGGAUCGAAAAAUAGACAUCCGAGAUUCAUCCACGUCACCAUGAGUAAAAAUUUUACUCGCAGAUUUGCUUAUGAGUAAAAAGUAAAUUUUUUACUCAGGGUGACGUGGAUGAAUCUCGAACGUCCAUUUUCGAUCCAAAUGCAGUUUUCAGGUUUUU